UCGGCUUUCUGAGGGAGCUCGUGAAUAGCACGCAGGGAAUUCAGCAAAACACCGGGGCUCUAACUGCUCCUGAAUGAGACAGAAUUAGAAAAUGACUUCAAAUUGAAAACUUAAUUUUCAAUUAGUGUACAUUCAGGCAGGAGUGGGAGGGACUCGGGGAUGACAGCCUGUUUGCUUAACACGCUUUUUAGAAGACAUGCUUGCAAGCUAUUAGUUAGCUUCCUUCUUCCCUCCCUGUCCCCACCACCCUAACCGCUCCUCACACUGUAAUUUGGCAGCGGCUGCUUGCAGGCCUGCUGUGCGCUUGGUCCCUGACUGACUCAGAUGCAGAUGGCAGCAGAGGCAGCCACAGGAAGUGGGAUGCAGCCUGUCACCUCUGAGACUGGCUUGUGCUUGUCAACCUCGCUGUGGACCCUGUGAGGCUACAGGGCUCAGCACAGGUCGCUGCAUUGUGCACUGGGGCCCUGAGAGUCCAGCAUGGUGGGAUUUACUUCAUCCUCAACAGAAACAGAUGUUAUUACAGUGGAGGUCAGCCGCUGACGUGUACCAGCUGCGGGAUUCGGAGCUCCCUGCUGACGGAUGGGCUUCACCUUUCCAGGUGAAUUUUCUUUGUUUUAUUAAAUCUCCUUGGAGAGGCUUUUAUUGGUCUCCGUGGAGUCAGAGAAAUUAGACUUUCCCUUUUGGAACUUACGAUAGUAAGUCAACCUGCAACCGGGCUUCUUAGUUAAUAUCUAGAAGACAGAGCUGUUACUUUGGAAAAACCCUCAAGCUGUUUGACGGAGAGGGCAAAUCAGGAUGCUGUGAGGAGCCGACUCUCCCAGGAGAAGCUGAGGAGGACGGGGCUGAGCUGGAACCCAGAGGAGAGAGCAUUCCAGGAAAACCUAGUGUUAAAACAACCCCAAUGGGAAUGCUCCCCGGAACUGCUGUGGACCCUAGGAUAAGCAAAUAUCUAGGUAAAUGGUGUGAGAUUUUCAGAGUUAACAAAAUUUCCUCUAUAUUUUGAUCUUAAUUCAAAUAUUUUAAUCUCCUUUUUAUCCUAAAAGUAAUCAAUGCUUAUGAUAAAAUUCAGUCACAGGGUAUGUAAAGUAAAAGUAAAAGACGCCGUCCCUACCCAUUUCCCCACAUCACACCCUUUAGGAACAACAGCUGUAAAUAGUUUCCUCUGUUAUCCAUCCAAGAUCAUUUUAAAUAAAAACAAGCAUAUAUUUAUGUGUGUAUAAAUC
rnacentral:lncRNA from 1 species